GACGAACGCUGGCGGCGUGCUUAACACAUGCAAGUCGAACGGAAAGGCCCUGCUUUCGUGGUGUGCUCGAGUGGCGAACGGGUGAGUAACACGUGAGUAACCUGCCCUUGACUUUGGUAUAACUUCAGGAAACUGGGGCUAAUACCGGAUAGGAGCUCCUGCUGCAUGGUGGGGGUUGGAAAGUGUCGGCGGUUGGGGUUGGACUCGCGGCUUAUCAGCUUGUUGGUGGGGUAGUGGCUUACCAAGGCUUUGACGGGUAGCCGGCCUGGGAGGGUGACCGGCCACAUUGGGACAGGGGUACGGCCCAGGCUCCUACGGGGGGCAGCGGUGGAGAAUAUUGCACAAUGGGCCGAGGCGUGGUACAGCAACGCCGCGUGCGGAAUGACGGCCUUCGGGUUGUAAACCGCUUUCGCCAGUAACGAGGCGUGCGUGACGGUAAUGAGUAAAAAAGCACCGGCUACCUACGU
rnacentral:rRNA from 1 species